AAUCACCGUGCACUUACAAUGGGACGGUUUACGAAGAUGGUGUAAGCUUCAUGGACGAUUGUAACACCUGUAAAUGCAUGCAUGGAAACGUUGGCUGUACCGGGAAAGCCUGUGGUGACAGAACACCGUGCAAUUACAAGGGGAAGGUUUACGAAGAUGGUGAAAGAUUCAAGGACGAUUGUAACCACUGUACAUGCGUGCAAGGAAACGCUCUCUGUACGCUGAAAGGCUGUUUAUACGAUAUAAAGUGAAGUGGGGAGCCUCAGCCGCAAGGGAAACAAAGAUCGACGAUAAAGAACAAUAAGAUGUGUGAUUGUUUUGAAGACAAACGGCUAAUAAAGUGUUUGUGUUUACCAGAACAGAACAUAUUUUAUUCGCGUAAACUUUACAGUUUUUUGUGUUAUAUAAAUGCAUACAUAUACUAAUCAAUGUAACAGGA